CCUACGGGUGGCAGCAGUGAGGAAUAUUGGUCAAUGGGCGGGAGCCUGAACCAGCCAAGUCGCGUGAGGGAAGACGGUCCUAUGGAUUGUAAACCUCUUUAGGCGGGGAGCAAUGCCGGGCACGCGUGCCCGGAGGGAGAGUACCCGCAGAAUAAGCAUCGGCUAACUCCGUGCCAGCAGCCGCGGUAAUACGGAGGAUGCGAGCGUUAUCCGGAUUUAUUGGGUUUAAAGGGUGCGUAGGCGGAUUUUUAAGUCAGCGGUAAAAUGUCCGGGCUCAACCCGGGCCGGCCGUUGAAACUGGGGUUCUUGAGUGGGCGAGAAGUAUGCGGAAUGCGUGGUGUAGCGGUGAAAUGCAUAGAUAUCGAGAAGAACACUCGGGGCGAAGGCGGGUUCCUGGACAUUAACUGACGCUGAGGCACGAAGGCCAGGGGAUCGAACAGGAUUAGAUACCCCAGUAGUC
rnacentral:rRNA from 1 species